CCGAGGGCGAGGGCGGGGGAACGGGCGCCGCUUACCAGGUCAUCCCCGGGUGCCCCCGCGGUCCCGCCGGUGUCAAGUUCACGUCCGGCCCGCAGACUGUCCGAGGUCUGGGCGCAGCCGGGCAGAGCGAGGCCGCGGGAGGCCGCCGGCCCCGGGUCACCGCCGCCGCCGGCCCCGCGGCGCCGCUGUCACUUCGGUCCCGCGACCCCAACUUUCCGCACAGUCGCGGAGCUGGAAGUUUCCGGGCUUCGCGGGCGCUGGGCUGGGUUUCAGCAGCGACGUCUGAGCUUGGCAACAAAGAGGGAAAGCAGGCCUGGAGAGGGAGGAAAGAAAGAAAGACAUGGAGAGCGGCCCGGCUACUUAGAAGUCUCCAGAACUUGAAAUUCCACCCAGAAGCUUUUUUUGGUCGUUUCUUCUUAAGUGGGUCAGUCCUGGAGGGCCAGGCAGAGUUCGUGGAAGAGGCCACACCCUGGGGGCACCUGAGGUUGUCACCCUCCACCCACCUGGGAACUUCCGAACUUGCCAUGAGGCUGAGGACCUAGAGGAGGCCGGAGGACUGAAAAAUGCAUCCGGAGCUGUCUUCCUGAACGCUCAACCCAAGUGCUUUCUGAUGCGUGAUCACUGGUGCCCAAGUUGUCACCAGAUGGGAUGUCCCCUUGCUCCAUCAAAACUGCCAAGACCUUGUUCGGCCUGGCUUUAUGGGCCGGGAGCCUGCGCCGCCGCCCCUCGCUCUGGGCCCUCCUGUCCCUGUCUUAAAAUUCUUAAUCCUUUUUGAACGAGGGGCCCUGUGCUUUCAUUUUGCAUUGGGCCCUGAGCUGUGUCCUAGUUUGGCUGCUGGUUAACAGCAGCGUAAAGUUAAAAAAAAAACCAACCACCAUGAGUUGACGUUUCUUUUGUUCUUAUGUUUUCUUUUUAAAAUUGUGAUG
rnacentral:lncRNA from 1 species